AUUGAACGCUGGCGGCAGGCCUAACACAUGCAAGUCGAACGAGUGGCGGACGGGUGAGGAAUGUCUGGUAACCUGCCCGAUGGAGGGGGAUAACUACUGGAAACGGUAGCUAAUACCGCAUACCAUCGGAUGUGCCCAGAUGGUAUUAGCUUGUGGGGGAGGUAACGGCUCACAUAGGCGACGAUCCCUAGCUGGUCUGAGAGGGUGACCAGCCACACUGGAACUGAGACACGGUCCAGACUCCUACGGGAGGCAGCAGUGGGGAAUAUUGCACAAUGGGCGAAAGCCUGAUGCAGCAAUGCCGCGUGUAUGAAGAAGGCCUUCGGGUUGUAAAGUACUUUCAGCGGGGAGGCGGUACCCGAAGAAGAAGCAACGGCUAACUCCGUGCCAGCAGCCGCGGUAAUUC
rnacentral:rRNA from 1 species